UACGUAGGGUGCAAGCGUUGUCCGGAAUUAUUGGGCGUAAAGAGCUCGUAGGCGGUCUGUCGCGUCUGCUGUGAAAACUCAGGGCUUAACCCUGAGCUUGCAGUGGGUACAGGCAGACUAGAGUGCGGUAGGGGAGACUGGAAUUCCUGGUGUAGCGGUGAAAUGCGCAGAUAUCAGGAGGAACACCGGUGGCGAAGGCGGCAUCCUGGACCAAUAUUGACGCUGAGGAGCGAAAGCGUGGGGAGCGAACAGG
rnacentral:rRNA from 1 species